AUGACAAUGGCCGAUGCGAAGGAGAGUGUGUCAGAAAAUGGUGUUGAGUGUGGUGGAAUGGUGGAGCUUGGAGGCCGAGGUAUUGGUUUUAGUGUUGUGGUGCAUUUUGGUGGAGGUGGACUUGAGGGGAUUUUGAGGUUGCUUAUGGUGCUGAUGGGAGGUUCACGAAAUGAAGCGGAGGGAGACGGAGGGAGAUCGGAAGUUGUGUUGUCUGGCGAUUGUUUGAGUUGUAGAAUGAGAGGAGGUUGA